rnacentral:rRNA from 1 species
CAGCAGCCGCGGGAAUACGAAGGGGGCUAGCGUUGCUCGGAAUUACUGGGCGUAAAGGGCGCGUAGGCGGACAGUUAAGUCGGGGGUGAAAGCCCGGGGCUCAACCUCGGAAUUGCCUUCGAUACUGGCUGUCUUGAGUAUGAGAGAGGUGUGUGGAACUCCGAGUGUAGAGGUGAAAUUCGUAGAUAUUCGGAAGAACACCAGUGGCGAAGGCGACACACUGGCUCAUUACUGACGCUGAGGCGCGAAAGCGUGGGGAGCAAACAGGAUUAGAUACCCCUGUAGUCCCUGUCUCUUAUAC